GAUGUGGGAUGGGCAGGGUCAUGGUGUUGCUGUGUAUUUCACGGAUGUGAAAUCACUUGUGCGUCAAUCUGAGAUACGGGGGAAUGUGAUCGAUGCAUAUGCUAUUAUGCUAAAUGCUGAGUAGGAGAGGAUAAAUGAGGGCGUUGAUGCUGCAGACAAAUCUUAUUUCUUCAGUAGUAUAUGUCUAGACAUGAUGAAGAACAACAACGUACGGUCAAGGAAUAGGUAUGUGUUGGACAACCUGCGUGCAGCUAAGCUCUUCCGUUACGUACAUUUCCCGCUUUGCAAAGACUCACACUGGACGCUGGUCGUGUAUGACACUGAGGAUGGGAGUUUGAAGCAUUUUAACUCGAUG